GGAUUAGUGGCGGACGGGUGAGUAACGCGUGAGUAACCUGCCUUAGAGAAGGGGAUAGCCUUUGGAAACGAAGAAUAAUACCCUAUGAAACCAACACCUCGCAUGAAGUGCUGGUCAAAGAUUUAUCGCUCUAAGAUGGACUUGCGUCUGAUUAGCUAGUUGGUGAGAUAACAGCUCACCAAGGCAACGAUCAGUAGCCGGCUUGAGAGAGUGUACGGCCACAUUGGGACUGAGACACGGCCCAGACUCC
rnacentral:rRNA from 1 species